CAGUGCUGAAACUUGAUGGAGAGGAAUCUCAGGUAAGUGCUGUAUCCCAGCCCAUGGCCAAGCGGCGGGGGCAAAGCGCCAUGUGCACCCCCGGGUAAUAGUUUGGGAGAGCAGUGUAGUGAGCGAGGCGACUCUACUAGGAGGGUUACGGUAGAAGGAAAGUAACACGUGCGGAGCUGCUGUACCGGGCGGUGGGGUUCAUCGGUAAUCCGGGAGUUUAUCACCUACCCUGAGAGUGCUUCCACAGUGAUCCCUGUACUGUACCUCUGUAUCCGAAUGGUACCCCUUAUCACAGUGAUCACUGCCCUGUCUGUACCCCUGUAUCUGAAUGGUACCCCUUACCACAGUGAUCACUGCCCUGUCUGUACCCCUGUAUCUGAAUGGUACCCCUUACCACAGUGAUCACUGCCCUGUCUGUACCCCUGUAUCUGAAUGGUACCCCUUACCACAGUGAUCACUGCCCUGUCUGUACCCCUGUAUCUAAAUGGUACCCCUACCACAGUGAUCACUGCCCUGUACCCCUAUAUCUGAAUGACACGGCUUCCCACAGUGAUCACUGUACCCCUAUAUCUGAAUGACAGCUUCCCACAGUGAUCACUGCACUGUACCCCUGUGUCUGAAUGUCACAGCUUUACAUAGUGAUCACUGCACUGUACCCCUAUAUCUGAAAGGCACAGCUUCCCACAGUGAUCACUGCACUGUACCCCUGUGUCUGAAUGUCACAGCUUUACAUAGUGAUCAUUGCUCGGUACCCCUAUAUCUGAAUGACACGGCUUCCCACAGUGAUCACUGCACUGUACCCCUAUAUCUGAAAGGCACACCUUCCCACAGUGAUCACUGCACUGUACCCCUAUAUCUGAAUGUCACAGCUUAACACAGUGAUCAUUGCUCUGUACCCCUAUAUCUGAAUGACACGGCUUCCCGCAGUGAUCAUUGCACUGUACCCCUAUAUCUGAAAGGCACAGCUUCCCACAGUGAUCACUGCACUGUACCCCUAUAUCUUCGUGCCGCAAUUUAUCAUAGGGAUCACUGCACUGUAGCCCUGUAUCCGAAUGGCACAACUGAUCAUGGUGAUCACGGCACUCUGCAUUAAUCUUCAGCCACAGAGUAUUGGUGAUCGCUACGCUGUGUCUCUGUCAAUUGCCAGAAUUUACCAUAGUGAUCUCUGCACCGUACCUGAGAUCUUUUAAAGAACCGCUUACCAUAGUCCUCUCUUUGCGGAGCCUGUGUCUUCAGCCACCGCAUCCCAUAGUAAUCUCUGCACUUUCUGUGUUCAGUGCAUAGCUUGUAUAGUAAUCAAUGCACUGGAUGUUCAUAGUACUGUCCAAAUAUCUCCACUGUUUGUCAAUACCAUAUGUUACAAUAUAUAUCAAGUCAUACAUCACCAUUCGAUCUCUAUGUUUACCAGUAUAUGUUCCUGCUAUAACUGACCCAUAUGUUCCCCAUCCAUCGUCAUGCAAUAAUUGGACCAGAGUUUUGGUUACAGACAUGCAUUGUAUAGUCGAAUGUGAAUUGUUCAUUCUUUGGGUGCGAAAGUGUAUUAGGCAAAAGUGAAAGCCUUUUCUGCUGUGCGUUGAUUUUUAUCAAUACUAGUUUAACCCUCUCUGUGCAUAGAGCCGUCCGUGAUCUCUGCGCUCUGCAACUUCUGCAAGGUACUGUGUUUAUGACACAGUACCUCGCCCGUUAACUUUGCUUAUGUGUAUCAGUGCCAUAGUUCCUACACAUUACAUCCUGCUCCAUGACAUACGACAUGUGCCAAACAGCUGGACAUCUCAUUCACCCCCUCUCCCUUUAAUCCAGUUAUUACUUUAUCUGCUGAGCAAAAUAGCCAGAAUCACUGAGUACAAUAGUAUUUCAUAUAACCAUAUUUGUAAAAAUGAUGCAUGUAAUAUCUUCGCUUAAUUUUGUUGGAGUGCCAGAGAGACAGAGAAAUGUAUCAAGUUGAACAUACCCCUGGCACGUGAUGGGUUAAUUACUCUGUGACAUUUAUCGUACCGCUACCCACGCCAUGCACAUAUGCCCACUAUUAGUAAUCAGUGCCCAUAAAAUGCUAGUUCUGUUUCCUAAUUGCGCUCGGUAACAAGCACUCCAAACCCCCACACCCCACAAUCUGUACGAAUACUCGCUCUCCUUAGCUGAGCCUCCCACUCACAGCAUCGUUUUUGUUCUUUCGAUUUCCUCCCACUCAGGAUCCACGCACAAACUUUCAUUGGCAGCCCUAGUCUGGCAGGCGCACCCCCUCCCCCCCCCCUUCUUUUCCUCCCCCUCUUCCUGUCCAACUGUGGAAAGGCGCACAUGUUUAAUCUGCCUAAGCAUCACUGCACCUAUCACCUAACACAUCAUCACUAGGCAUCAUCGUGCAUUCCAUUUAGAAUGUUGAGGGAUCAUAGAUUCUCCCCACUUUACUGCUUCUCUAAGAAUAUAUAUUCUAGUCUGAGAUCCUCACCCACUCUACUGACUUACUGUAUGUGGGGGUUCCAGAAAAAGAGAUUGAGGUUUGUGUUUCAAAGUAGAGAGACCAUGCAUGUCUAUACAAGAGUCUACAUGUUAGCAACUGCAUGCAUAUAUAAUGCACACACACAUAUGUCAAAAUCGGUUACAUUCAUUGCGUAGCUGUGAGGCUACUGUAUGUGCAUGUGUGUAUGUGCAUGUGAAGAUUUGAUUGCGCCUGUGUGUACGUGCGUGUGAAGCUUUGUGUGUAAAUAUUUAUCUGUGCAUGUGAUUAGACGCGAGGGUAAAUGUAUGUUGAUAUAGAUAGAUGCCACGUGUGUAUGUAGAUGAAUGUAGCUGUCCGUUCGUGUUGAAGUGUAUAGACAUAUGUAUAACUGUUCAUAGGUAACUGUUUGGAUAUGUGAACGUCUCUGUGGGUAAACAUGAAUGAGAAUAUGACUGGAGAUGCGUGUUUGUGUCGAUAUAUGUAUCUGUGUGUAUGUAACUAUGUAUAUACAUAUGAAUGUACCUGUAGAUGUGUGUUUGGGUAUCUGUGUGUAUUUGUGUGUUUGGGUAUCUGUGUGUAGAUGUGUAUGUAGCUAAGUGUGUGUGUGUUAGAUGUGUAUGUAGCUAGAUAUGUGAAGAUAUGUGUGCAUAGCUAGAUGUAUGUGUGUAGAUUAUUGUGUGUAUAGCUAAAUGUAUGUGUGCAGAUUAUUGUGUGUAGCUAGAUGUAUGUGUGUAGAUGUGUGUAGCUAGGUGUGUGUGUGUGUAGCUAGAUGUCUGUAUGUGUGUAGAUGUGUAGCUAGAUGUGUGUGUGUGUGUGUAGCUAUGCAUAUGUGAAAGUGUGUUUACAGUGCGUGGGUGUGUUUUGCAGUCCAUUCUGCUGGAUACAGGGACUCAUAGACAGACACUGAUAGCCCAGUGCUCUCCUGCCAUUGGAGUAGUGUCUGUGUGAUGUGUAUGGGGGGAGGUCCAUCCCGGUGACUCAUACAUUAAAGCACAUUCAGUCCACGUCCCAUCCUCCCAAUUCAGCUCGCCUCCUCUUCAUCCCUGCUCUCCUUCACAUGCGAGUUUUUUCUCUCCUCCAUCACUUCCACUUUUCCCUUCAGACUGCAGAGCUUCUCCUCCCUGUAGAUUUCUCCUCUGACGUGUUUCUGGGGAUGAGAAAUUCAUCUCUGCGUCAAUGCAGCCCUUCAUUCACCUGCACCAACCUGCUCUUAAAGGCACAGGCGCACUGACUGGCUAAUUCCCAGCUCCAGGAGUCCCCCUUCAUGCUCAUUUACUAAUGAGUCUUGGCACUGUGUGGGGGUAACAUAGCCUAGUAACUAUGUGACUCUAAAUUGCGUCAUACAAUGAAUGCAGGAAUGUAGGGCACAAAGCCAACAUGAACGACUAUAUUUAUAAGCCUAGACAAUUGUAUGUUCAAUAAUUCAGCAAGGAAAGGGUUACCGGAUACAAAAAGUGCUCAGUUUAAAAGUUCCCAGUUUCUGGGGCUUCCAUUGAUGUGAUAUAUUUGAUAGUUCGUUUAAACACAUUUUUCAGGUAGAGAUGGACUUAGUACAUUGCACCCAGAUAUCCUGCAUCCCUGGUAGAUGUCUUAGAACCGUUAUGAUGGGCAGGAUUAAUUUCUCACCCAGGCUUGCAGCUUACAGACCUUGAACAUUAGUAGUGACAUUGCCCAGGGCUAAAUUGCUCUUCACCGGAACUGAAAUUAAAUUGGAAUUAAUCAACUAACUCUACUAAAUUGGAUUUUUUUUUUAUUAACCCUGUUUGCACCUGUUAUGUGUUAUAAUGAUGCCGGUAAUAGGUUGUGGAAUGAAGGUUUACUCUGUACUCUACCUGAGUCUCAAGGGCAAAAUUCUAAAUGGUGGGCAAUCACCAUGGAAACCAAUGAAAUUUUCCUACUGAUUGUUCCACAUUCAGAACUUUGCUCCCAAAGUGUUCUUUAUGCACAAUCCUGAAAGGGUUAACAAUGUGUCAGUGGGACCAUCACAGAUAGCAGAAUGUUCCUUUCAGGGAAGCUGCAGUUUCAGUUACUAGACGUCCUGUCCUCCUUGCAAAUAACCCCUACCCUCCCUGCUACACCACCUAUGUACGGUACCUGCACCAGAAGGCUGGAGAUUCCCAGAGAUGCUACAACACUCCCGGUCAUUACAUCAGCACCUUGGCUCUAGACUGCUUACUGUGAAAUUGCUAUAGGAACAGUAACAGUCUACAGUCAUGGCUACUGAAGUGUGACUUCUGCUUCUGUUCUACAGCCUCUGGGUGGACCUCCAAGGAGACAGAUCCAAAUGCAGCCCAUACCAAGGGCAUGAAGAUUGGCAGGGGCAAAUAUAGGAUGGGGUGGUGUGGGUGGCAUCCAAAAGGUGGCAAGUGACUGUCCUUAAACUAUUGCAAUAUGCUGGUUAUAAUGCAUCACACCUGUAAAUGUUUUGAUUAUGAUUACCUGGUCAUAUUUCCCCUGUAUGUCUUGUCUAGUUCAGUCACUGCUGACCUUGGCACUGCAGAUACUUGUAAAGUACAUUUCACAUGAUGGGGCAUCAUUGGAAACGUAGUCCACCAAAAAUACUCAGUGGUGAAUUCUUGCUGACCUGGAUUAUAUAUUAACCCAUUAACCUCCGCAAUUCACCUGUUUUUUAAAGAGUUUAGAGCCAUCUCGAACCACGCUGUUGCUAAUGAUCUAUGAAUGACUGAUCCACAUCGAUGUAUCAGUUUUGAUAAGCAAUACUGGGAAAACCAUUGGGGUCUCACAUUCCUUACAAUAUUCACUUAGAGGUAAACCUGUAAUAUUGCUGUCUUGGAAAGGGGAGCUUUUGGAGCAGCUGGCUUGUGACUGAUCUGUAAGGUAAAACUGCCAGUUUAAUUCACUGAUUGGCAGAUGCCUGGUAUGAGUUUGUGUAUGUGUUAAAUGGUCCUAUUUUGCUAUUGGUGUAAUGCACAGAGAUGUAAAUAUUCUAGCAAAUAGCAAUCAGUUGCACUGCAAAAGUUCAUAGCACUAUAGCUGUACAGAUUGCUGCCUGUGGUGGUGAAUUAGACAUCCUCACAUAGUUAGCCAUGGGUGACAGCUGCAAGACUCUGUUUGCAUGUCUCCACCCACAGAGACUUUUAGUCACUUUAAGAUACAGAAGAUGUAAGUCAAUGAGUCACUGUACCACCCACUGAUUUAGCAUGUGUGGAUAGCUAUAGUUUAUUUUAGGAAAUAAAUAUAGUCCCAAUUUUUUUCACCAGUUGACAAAGUCACGGGAACAAGGAUCAUUGAGCAAAAAUGACAGAAGUAAGUAGAAUUAAAUGAGGAGUGAGAAAAUGGCAGUAUUUCUUAUUUAAAAUACCAGCACACGCAUAAAUUAAGUGAUUCAAAGCAGAACUUAACAUACAUGAUAAUAGAGUUUUUACUGCAACUAUGUAACAUUUGUGGAGAGUACACUAAGAACAGGUUGGCCAAACAAUGUAAAAGCUGACAAAGCAUCAUGGGACAUCAUGGGGAUAUACCUUUUUGCCACCCUCUGCUAUAGAACAUCAAAUGUUGGCUGAUCUUAUUGUAACAAUGACAACUUAAACAUUCACCUGAUUAUUUACUAAAGUGAGAAUUGUGGUUAAUUCAAAGUUAAUUUUAAGAUUAUAGCCAAGGUAGCCAUGCUGGAAGUACAGUUAAAGUAACACUAUAGAGUUAGGAAUACAGGUUUGGUGCCCUUGUCCCUAAUAAAAGUAGAGGGCCCCCACCUAUGGGCAAUAAUUUUUUAAUUACCUUUUUUCCGCGCUGCUUACUUCUCUGCCUCCCAUGACAUCAUCAAGGAGGGCAUCCUAUUUCGAAUGUCCAGCCCAGAGUUCCUCAUAGAGGAGACCUGAUGUAGAUGCACAUGAAGUGACUAGCGCAUCCAAUGUUUCUCUCAGGAAAGCAUUGAAUUUAAUACUUUUCCAUGAGCUGCAACAUUACAUGCAUGUUUUACUCUGUCAGUGCAGUGAAAGAGCCUUUUGUGGUGUCUGAAAGACAGCCAAGUAGUGUGUUUAACCUUGCAAUGUAAACAUCUCCGGAUCUACAAAACUGCAGUGUUUUAGAUUGCAGGGUUAAAAUGAGAGAACUACUGCAAAUGGCCACUGGUCUGGUCACUUUAGUGUCUUUUUAACUUGGAGAAAUUUUCCAAUUGUACUAUUUUCGGCCUUAAAUGUGAAAUUCACUUUGAAAUCCUGUCAGUUCUUACUUUAAAGUAGGUAAAUAGCACUGUUAGUCUUAAUAUAGCAUUUGUGUAGCAUUAUGACAAGUCAACUCUUCAUUCCAUUACCUAGGCAUUACAUUUAAAGAAACACUCCAAGCACUAUAACCACUACAGCGCGCGAGCACUCAGCUAAUGCCAGUGAUCUAACCUUACAUGUCCAGGUUUAGCUCAUGAGAGGUAACAGAAGAUCCUAGGCAGGGGCUCACUGCUCUGUUGGCUGCAGUGGAAUUGGAGAGUGGUGUCUGGCAGAUCCAGGUAAGAAGCCGAACCCUUCUAAAAUGUAUGCUGUAUUGGUCAUGGUGUUAGAAGUGUUCCUGUAAGGCAAUUUGAGCACCAAUAUUGGUGCUUAAUCUCAUUUUACAUACAAUGUGUAUAAUUAAAGGGACUGCGCAGCCUUAUCGAACAUAGACACUUUAUUACAUUACAUGCAGAAUUAGUGACAACAUUAGUUGUGAUUUCUGUGUAAACCUAAAUGUGCAUUCGCAUGUAUAAUUUAUAUCUUUACAAACGCAUUUGAAUAUUUCUAUUAAAGUUUCAUUCACUAGACCAAGUCUAAUAUUUAAACUGUUCCUGUCAUGGUAAACAAAAGUUACUAGGUUAUUUUAUUAAAACAUUUUUCUGUAUGUUGUGCUUGCAGAACUGCUAGAAACAAAAUAAUAAUAAAAAUAUAUAUAUAUAUAUUAACAUAUGGUCCCUCCUCUAAUCUGUCAAUCAUUUCCCAGCUUACAGCUCUAUGCCAAUGAUGUAGUGCAUUUGGAGAUCAAGACCACUGCACUUCCCCAAACAAUGCUCCCUCAGCACCAACAUUCUCACUUCUCUGUCGAGUGGAAUGGUGUCAGAACAGAGUGACAGUUGUCAUUGUGUUCCUAUAAUCUGCUAGCAAGAAUGAGAUGCAUCUAUUAGGGAAGUAAUCAUGGUAACGUAUGUGCAUGCAUAUGCUGUAUGCUGUAGCUGCUGUGAAGGAGAACAGGAGAACCAUUAAGUUGUCCUCUUGGUCACCAUUCCGUGACAUUGUCCUGUUUGGGGAAGUGUUCAGGCGUAGGGGCAGGAAUUAAGAGCAGGCAAUAGGUGUUACAUAAAAGUAACACCCCAAAUGGCUGCACUGGGGAUGGAGAGAAAGUGGUGAAUACAUAUAUAUAUAUAUAUAUAAUCUACCUGCAUAAAAUCUAUACAUUUAUCACAAUGCAAAAUUUCCAAGUUUGCAUGUAAUUAAUGUUUGUGUAAGAGAAUGAGUAUUAAAGAACCUUCUAAAUAAGGGGUAGCAGUGAGUUAACAAUCAACAUAGAACGUUUAGACCAAAAUAAGUGAGUUGGAAGAAAUCCUCUUUUAGGCGGAAUUUUAGUUGUGUAUUCUAAACUAUACAGUCCAGUUAUUUCAGGAUAUUUUUUCCUUUUAAUCUUCUGUAUUGCAUAAACCAGUCAAUGGAUCCUUUACCCUGCAGAUUGGAUGCUCCAUUAAUGUUAAUUGUUAACCAUUAUCCUGUAUUAGUAUAAUGUUACACUUGAAAAAGCAUUUUGACAUGGAGACAAGACAGCCAGGAACCGGCCAACAUAACAGCUCUUUCUUUGUUCCCAUUGAAUAAUAUUUAAAGAAAUUAUCCAAAGGGAUACCUUUAAAUGUAUCUAGUUUUCUUGCUUACUAUCAAAAACAAUGGUAUAAAAUCCAGAUUGCAAAAUGAAGGCUAAACUAGCCAAGCUGUGACUGUAGCUGGAUAACCCCUUAAGUACACAACUUCAGAAAUAUAAGGGAAUCAUGACGGAAUAUUUCCGUCAUGCGUCCUUAAUCCCUUAAGGACACAUGACAUGUGUGACAUGUCAUGAUUCCCUUUUAUUCCAGAAGUUUGGUCUUUAAGGGUUUAAGGGGAUAUUUUUUCCAGAUCUGUAGUUUUUUUGUGUGUUAAUUCUUCAUUGUGGCGGUGAGCUUUUUAAAAUGUUAUUAUACCAACUAUACCAAUUUUAUUUUACCAACUACUUCAAUGGUUCAACUCCAAAUUCAGCAUAGUAUACCAGUUCAAUAAUAAUAUGUAGCUAGUAUAGGAAAUGGCAGCAAUUUUAACUUUUUUACCAAUUUUAUGCUUUUUAAAUUUUUUAUUUUUUAUUAAUAUGUAUUAUAGUAUGUAUAACCUAGUAUAAAUUAACUCAGGGUUAUAAUAAAGAAACAAAUAACCUGGCAAUAUGUUAUAAUUUGCAAACUGUUUUUAGGCAAAAUAGCAGAGUUUUAAUAGUUUUCUAUUUACUUUAAUAAAGUUUAGAAAGGGGGUACAUUGACUAGGUGAGUGGUAUCCAAUUCAGUCUAUUCCAUUGGGCAUACUGACAAAAAUGUUGACAUUUGGCAUGCUGUGAGGACCUGAUUGGAAAACACUACUCUAGAGACAGACAGCCCCUGUAGAUCCUUUAACCCCUUAAGGACACAUGACAUGUGUGACAUGUCAUGAUUCCCUUUUAUUCCAGAAGUUUGGUCCUUAAGGGGUUAAACUAGAAUCUUUCUUAUCAUUACAUCAAAAUCGACUGCAGGAAUCUAACAUGGGUAUAUUCACUAACUAAACCAUUUACCGUGAUGAGUUUAACUAACUUCUAAACCCAUGCAAUGAAAGUGCAAAGUGUUCUUUACACAAGCACGAUUAUUAAAGCUGAAAUGGUUUUACAAAAACAUGUUUAGAAAACAUUUAAGUUAGACUCCACUGAUUGUAAUGAAUAACUGCUCGACGCACAUCGUCGUAGUUUUGAAAACAGUCAAAUCGUUUAGCUCUAACUCUGUUUCACAAUUUAUGAAACUUUCUUCACUUCACCCAGAGAAUGCCCCUUCCUAGGCUAGAUCAAUAAUGCAGAUUUAAACCACCCCUAGUGCUCUCAGCCAGCCAGUGUUGUCCAGAUUGGAUGGAACUGACGCUGAUAAUGCAGGAAUGUUAAAGGAGCACUCCAAACACCUAAAGCAUAUAAGCUUUCUGAAGUGCUUUAGUGUGAAGAGUGUGUCCUCUUUUUUUAUUUUACAAAAAGUGCAGGUUUCAAUUAACAAAAGCUAAAAAGGACACUCUACUGCCCAAACAAAUAAUAAUAAUAAUAAUGCACUAUUUAGUAGAUAUAUCCUCUUUGAAAACGCAUGUAUGUAAUAAGGCAUGUUUUUAGUUGGGGUUUUAACUAGAACAGCUUUCAAAACCUGCAGAUCUUUUGUCUGCCACCUUUACAGGUCAUAACCUUCUUUCCCAGACCAGUCUGUUGGUAUCUGUCCUAAUGCAACUCAAUAAAAAGUCUUUGCAAGGCAGGUGGUCUAGGUUUCCUCUUGAGUUUAGCUCUACUGAGCUAACCAAACCAGGAAGUAACAGGACCUGAUGUCUGAUUGACAGUGUGGGGAAGGGGGGUUUAACAAGGUUAAUGUGUUUCUAUUGACAUCUGCACUUUUUAUAAAAUGAAAUUAAAUGAAAAAGCAGAUAAAUUUUUUACACAUCAAGGACUUCUGCAAAAUUCAACAUUUUAGGUGUUAGAAACGUUCCUUUACAUGCCUGCAUGUUUUCACUGGAAGUAUAUCUACUAAAUAGUGUUUGUUUUUUUAUUUUAUUUUAUUUGAGCAGUGGAGUGUCCCUUUAAUUUUCUGUUUUCAGUUAUGCUGAAGUGGAGGCUCUCUUCAGACGCAAAGAAAAACCCUGUUUUAUGGUUUAGGUCAAACAGUUUUAAAUAGUUUUAUAUUAAAUCAGGGGAGGGCUCCUGCACACACUCUUUAACCUAACCAUUGAAGUGAGCUGCAGUGGUUAUAUAGCUUAGGGCAUCCAUAUAAUGAGACACUAACUCUUUUAAUAAUUAGAUAGAAAUAUACAGCAAAUAGUAUUAAAAGUAAAAAACAAAAAACCUAAAUGCUAAAUUACAGAAUGCUGCAGGUUCUUGCAGAAAGGAACACGUAGAACUCUUUUAAAUUCAUUCUGCAGCAUGAUACACUACAGUAGAUGAAACCAUGUAUGUAAUUUACAAUGACUCACAUUAAAUGAACAGGUGCUUCAUUUGUGAAGAGUGUGUCUACUUUUUCCAUGUUACAAACAGAGCAGAGUUCAAUAGAAAGUGACACUUUUUAAAAGUAAUCUUUCUACACCCCUUGGAUGGUAAGACAAUCAGUCCUGUUACUUCCUGGUUUGGUUAGCUCAGUGGACAACAACAUUAAUUCUGGGCUGGGGAAAAAGGAAAGGGCUUGCAAAAGCUUCAGACGAGAGAUCUGCAGCUUUUAUAAGCGUUUUCAAAAUAUACCCACAGUGGAAAAAAAAAACAUAAAUCAUUGCAUGCAUGCUUUCAUUGGGGUAUAUCUACUAAACAGUGGUUUUAUUUUUUGUUUUUUGGCAGUGGAUUGUCACUUUAAAUUAUGUGCCUUGACUCCUUUAAAGUUUCAAUCACUAUUGAUAUUUUUAAGAAAGUAUUGACCAGGAAAGAUCAAAAUCUAAAAAAUGGUUGCUUCCCUUCCCCUCCCCAUAAUUUUGCAUAUUGUUUGUCAGGCCAUCAAAUUCACUAUUUACUCAGUAAACCCUAAAUUAUGAAAUUAGAGCGCAGUUAUGUAAUGCCCACAUCUAAUAUGGCACCUUACUCAAGUGCCAUUACUAUAGUAGGCAGAUUUAGUAUACCAAUUUAUACGACUACCCAAGGGAAUGGGAGUUCUGGCCAAUGUAUGUCCAAGUGAACAGGCCUCUAUGUACUGUGCACUGAUUGGUUCUUGAAUCUGUGAGGAACACACAUUGAUACCCUAUAAUCACCAAUUGAUUGACUCUAUUUAUGUCUGCAUGGGGAAAUAGGGGAAGGCUUAACCCAUUCACAAACAUAGCAGUUUCUCUGAAACUACUAUGUUUAUGAAAAAAUGGGUUAACCCUAGCUGGACCUGGCACCCAGACCACUUCAUUAAGCUAAAGUGGUCUGGGUGCCUAGAGUGGUCCUUUAAGUUACUAACAGUAAUAAAAUACUUAGAUGAAUAUUAUCUUCUCUAUUUAAAUUUGGACAGUAAGGUGAGGCACCCACAGGGGAAAACACAACUGUUAAACUUUCCAUUUUCAUAUAUCACAGGCUUCCCCAAACUCCGGCCCUCCAGAUGUUGCUGAACUACAACUCCCAUGGUUCUAUGAAUGAAAUAGAUAGGCUGAGAAUCAUGGGAGUUGUAGUUCAUCAACAUCUGGAGGGCUGGAGUUUGGGGAAGCCUGAUUUAUCAGUUCAUUGACACCUGCUGUAUGUGGCUGGGCUCUUGGCUUCCUAACUUUAAUUUACUAUAAUUUAGAUGCAGAACUCAGUCCACAUUUUAGUCACUGAGAAUGCAAGUAGAUUAACUGUGGCAUUGCUGUGAGCAAAUUGUAGCGUGGCUGGGUGACCAUAGCCAAGCCAGGAACCCGAGUUUAACUCAUCUUAAUUAUUUUUUAGAUAAAAUGUGACUUACUGAAAAAAAAUUAAAUUGUAUUUUAUCUCAUAAUAUAAUCUAGGAAAUGCAUGGCUUACUCUCCCACCACCCAUUUAUUAUUGGUAUAGAAAGAGGCAAAUAUAUAGGAUUAGAAUAUAUAAAUAAAUAACACAUUAUAUUAGCUAACUCGUCAAAGAAAAAAUAAAUGUUUAGGACUAAGGGCAUUUUAUGAGUGCAAUGUUUGAGUCUAACCAGGCUCGGCUUCAGACAGUGAAUUAUUAUUCAAAGGGGUUUAUCAAUAUAGAAACUUUUCAGGGUAAGGAAAGCAUUGGGAUGUAACUACUGGAUGUUCUACAUUUGGAACUUUACCCCCAAUCUGCUAUUCAUGACCUCAUAGUGUCUCUGAAGCACAGAACACACCUUGUGGUUCACUCACUAAACUCUGAGGUGUUUAUAAUUAAAAUUAAAAUGGAAAUUGGUGUUAAAAUACUCGAACUGUGGCUAUAGCUGAGUUGGAGAAUUUUCUAACCAUUUUAUUUAUAAUAUGUUGACAUUUUAAAUUUAAUUUCAAUUAGCUAUAGUUCAAGUCUACUGUAAAAACCUGUGAUUAAACCCCUCAUUACGUGUAUGUAAAGCUUUAUUUUUCACUUUACCAAUUUUAUUCUUUGUUUGAACCCAGCAGACUAGAAACCAUGAACAGUUCAUCAAGCUGAGGCAAUAGAGCAGGUGGACAUGUGUACACUAAUGGAUAUAUUCACUGCUUUGUGGUUGUGGUGAGUUGAUUACCAACUUGCAAAAUCUAGGCCAGAUUAGCUGAGUAAGCUAGUUUUUCCAACCAUGAAGUAUAUUCAUGAAACAGCGAGCUGUGCUGAGUUGACAGCCGAUUUAAAAAUGUAGGGCAAAAUAACUGAAUUGGAAAAAAUCUCAACUUCAGCUGAGCUGGAGGCUUCUUUCAAUCUUAGGAUUUUAGGACUGGACAGCAUAAAAUAUUGCAUUGUCAAAUUGCAUAAAAACUGUAUAAAUCGCUGUUUGCAGAAAAUAGACCUCUCUUAAUGUUCUAAGAUUCGUAAAUCGAUUGUAAACUUAUCAGAAUUACCCAUAAAUUAUUAUAAAAAUAAUAAUAAUAAUUAUUAAUAAUUAAUCAUUAUUAUAAUAAAUAAGAAACAUAUGUAAAACACUUAUUUUUAAAAGACAUGGAUGCAUUUUAUUAUCUACACAUAUCAUUAUAGUAUAACUAAUAUUUCAAUUAACAACAAUUUCCUUAGAGAUUGACAGAUUAAAUAAAGGAUAUAACAAAACAAAACAAAACCAACAAAUUUGCUAGAUAGAAAUAAGUUCAUAUAGUUGGCUUUUCUGUGAACUUACAAUCUAAACUAAAAUGUUUAUUCAAUAAAGGAACAUUGCAAACCUCUAAAGUAAAUUGUAGGUUCCUAGAGGUUUUGUAGAACUACAAAUUCCAUGAUGCUUUGCAUGCUUUUAGGAUGCAUAUUGAAUGACAAAGCAUGAUGGAAGAUGUAGUUUUAAAACAUCCGGGGAUGUACAUUUUGGGUACCUUUGCUCUAAAGCACUUCAGCUUGCUGAAGUGUUUAGGAGUAAGCAGUUUUGUAACAGUGCUGACUUCAAGCGUCAUCAACACUUUCAUUUUAACAUCUUGGUAAUAUCUCCCAGCUGUCUACUUGAUAGAAUGUUGCCUUCCUCGACUACAUUGUACUCUCAUUUAACCCCUUAAGGACCAAACUUCUAGAAUAAAAGGGAAUCAUGACAUGUCAGACAUGUCAUGUGUCCUUAAGGGGUUAAAGUGGAAGUGAGGGCUUCUCAUAGAGAAGCAUUGGCUCAGUGAUUGUGCAUGGGAGCAUUACCAGCGUAUCGCGGCAUUGGCACCCUGUGUUCCCAUACUUCUCUAUAGAAAGUAUUGGACUUGCUGGGAGUUUAUCACUAGUCAUGAGUUCCAGAGUCACAGUGAAACUGUAGUAAGAAGGUGGUCUCUCUGAAUUAGAGGUAGGUCACAUAUUGUUUGGAGGGAUCCUAGCUUAGGAACAUUUAAGCACAUUUAUUUCUAACAAAGCCUUCCUUUAAAACGCGCAUGUUUACUGAAAAGUGAUUCACAAUUUAGGUUAAAAUAGCUAAACUGUGACUAAGCUGGAGCUGGUAAUUUUUUUUUUUAAUUCACUACUGUCUGUGUUUAGUGAAUAUCCUGUUGACGCUGUAUAUUAUUUAUAAAAUGGACAUCGUAUGCAAGGUACAUUUUGGGUGGUAGUUUUCAUGCAAUAUAACUAACAUUUACGUGUCUUACAUUUUAUGUUAAUAACCAGCUGUUUCUAGCUGCACAGACUGGUUAGUUCAUUUAUCACUGACAGUUACUAGAAAUAGAUUGGAUAGAUUUACUUUUAUUAACUUUAUAUAGACAUUUUUUACCGAUUUACUCCAGCAUUGUGUAUAGCAGCAUAAUGCCAAAGAAAUGUGGGUACAAUGUAGUUGUUAAAGCAGUCACUGGCCUGUUUAUGGUUUAUACAUUAGAAACAGAGCUGUUUCUAAUGCAGUGCCAGUGAUUUCUGUUUGCUUACAUAUUAGUAAGUUAGCAGCCUGGCAUGCCCCAAUACACCAGAGUAAUAGUGAACUCACUGCGCUCUGAUUAGAAUGUUAAACAAAACAUAAUCAGUGUUCUAGAAUUCCAUUUCAGGAUAACAAAGUGAUCUCUGAGUAUUGGAGGAAAACUCCCAUUGGCUGCUGUGCCGGAUAACCCCCCACAUAUUAGCUUUCUGCAGUUAUCCCAUUUACACUUUCCUGCUAUUAUCCAUCCUUGAACACUGUCUAAUAUUUUGCUACUAUUUAUUCCUUUUAUUCAGUCUCAGGUCUCCAUGCAUUGAAAUAUUUUGAUGAUCAGUUUUUUUCCGCUCUAUUCUCAUCCUUAACCCCUUAAGGACCAAAUUUCUGGAAUAAAAGGGAAUCAUGACAUGUCACGCAUAUCAUGUGUCCUUAAGGGGUUAAAGGGACACUAUAGUCACCAAAACAACUUUAGCUUAAUUAAUAAAGAUAUAUAUAUAUAUAUAUAUAUAUAUAUAUAUAUAUAUAUAUAUCCCCUGCAGUCUCACUGCUCAAUUCUCUUUCAUUGAUGAGUUAAAUCACUUUGUUUAUGCAGCCCUAGCCUUCCUAAACACUUCCUGUAAAGAGUCAUCUAAUGUUUACACUACUUUUAUUGCAAAUUCUCUUUAAUUUAGAAUUUCUUAUCUCCUGCUCUGUUAAUAGCUUGCUAGACCCUGCAGGAGUCUCCUGUAUGUUAUUAAAGUUUAAUUUAGAGAGCAGGAGUUAACCAUUUCUAAAGUAAGCUACUAUCUGAUUGAUAGUAAAACCCUUUUUCUCAUGCAGGCUGUGUCAGUCACAGCCAGGUGUGGCUAGGAGGCAUAAACAGAAUCAAAAGUUAUUUAACUCCUAAAUGGCAGUACUCAAAUUUAUUUAUUUACCCUGUAGCUUAGUGGUCCUUUUAACUGAAAUAUAAUCUCAUAGAAUCUGCUUCAAUGUUGGAAACAGUCCCUGUAAUUUUAUUUUAAGUUAGAUGUCUGCUUCUCCCUCGGACCUACCUUUCGCAAGGUUAAACAAGAUAUCUAUAUUGUUUACCAGCUUGCUAGAAGAUGUACAGGCCAGACAAAGUUUUGUGUUUAACAUGUUUCUUCCAGUGGUGAGACAGACAUAAAGACAAGUAAAUAGAUAAAGCUAGACAGACAGACAGAAAGAUAGAUAAACUGUAUUUUUUCUGUAUUAUACUGCACACAGCUUCAGGUCUAGAUAUAAUGCUAAAUAAAAGAUAAAUUGGUUGCUCAACCUUCUGGCAAAGUCUUCUCUGGAAAGGAACAUUCUAAUGUUAAAAAGUAAUAAUCAGCUUUAGAGUUUGGCAAAUCUCUUUACACCUUUAAAUACCAGACCCGCCCCCAUGAAUGAAAAAUUACAUAACUUUGACAACAGUUUACCUUCCUGUCCAGAUUGCUUCAAUGGUUGCAUACACGUCAAUCAAAUGCAGCAACCGCUGUGAUCAAACAAUAGAAUACUUCUCAUACUGUACUAAUGAAUGGUUGUUCAAGCGGAAUGGGUCAGGAUGUCAGUUUGACUGCUGUGGGGGAGAGAAGUUCCCAAAUUAAUUUAUAAAAGUGAUGAUUUCUCUUUAAAUUGGCUCUUUUAUGAAUUGGGACAAGAUGGACAGACCGUUAACCCAUAAAGCAUUUCAGCAAGCUGAAGAUUGUGAAGUGUCCAUUUAAGCAUAUAACAAUGGCAUGGAGGCCAAGUGACAUUUAUCCCCCUUAAUCUUUGCACUACAUUCUAUUUGCCUCUGAAACACAGGAUAUAGAUAAAUGGUUUGGUUACAUUGAUAAUUUUCUGCAUCGCAUAUUAAUGGUAAAAACGACUUCAUUUGUUCAUGUUUUUAUUGAAACGGGUUGAAGAAAACAGAUGGGGCAUAUGGAUAUGCUUGGAAAUCUGUCCAAGCAGAAAUGUAUUGACAGAAGGCAAAGGAAGAAAAAUUCCUAGCGUACAAAAUUACAGCAAUAUGACAUAAGUAUGAGCAAGGCAAAAAACAGCUCCUUGUUACAGAGGAUUUCCCAUUUAUACCCUUUUAUCUUACAUCUAUAGAACCAUAGUAAAUAUGGUACACACCAGGCCUUCUAAUGUAUCAAAACCAGUGUCAUUUAGAAUAAAACAACGUGAAAAGAAACAUUUUAUGAACACAUAGUUUGUGGGCGUAACAGAUACUUGUCACAUUCUUAUCAGAAGCUGGUGGAAUAUUACCGAUCAGUAUCAAAACAUGUACUGGCAUGGUAAGAGCAGUAAGGAAGAUAACAGCUUUAUCUUCCAUUUGAAUUGUUGCCAACCCCAUUUAAUGCCUAAAGUCUAAUGCAUAAUUGGACAAUUACAUGGUCAUUGCUGUAACCUGAAAGUGCAGUUCAAAGAAGUUUAGACAUAACAGAGAUAAUGAUAGAAACAUUUAAUAUAUGAUAAAAACAUUUAAAUACAUAAAGGUAAUCAACAAAGUAAAUGAGGAGAGUAUAUUUAAAAGAAGAAAAACUACCACAAAAAGAAAACUACCACAAGAGGACAUAGUCUUCAAUUAGAGGGGCCAAAGUUUAAACAUAAUAUCAGGAAGAAUUUUUUCACUGAGAGAGUAGUGGAUGCAUGGAAUAGCCUUCCAGCUGAAGUGGUAGAGGUAAACACAGUGAGGGAGUUUAAGCAUGCAUGGGAUAGGCAUAAGGCUAUCCUACUUAUUAAAUAGGGCCUGGGACUAAUGAAAGUAUUUAGAAAAUUGGGCAGACUAGAUGGGCCGAAUGGUUCUUAUCUGCCGUCACAAAUUGGGUAGACUAGAUGGACCGAAUGGUUCUUAUCUGCCGUCACAAAUUGGGCAGACUAGAUGGGCCGAAUGGUUCUUAUCUGCCAUCACUUUAGCUUGCUGAAAUGCUUUAUGUGUGAAGAGUAUUUCCUCUUUUUUUUUUUUUUAUUUUACAAAAAGUGGAGAUUUCAAUAGAAAUUGAAACUUUUAUAAAUAACCUUGUUACACCCCUUUACUGUCAAUCAGACAACCGGUCCUGUUACUGGUUUGUUUAGUGAACUAAAUUCAAGAGGCAGCAAUUGCUCAGAGCACCUACCUUGUAAAGACUUCUCAUUGAGCUGCAUUAGGAAGUUUUUUGAUUGGACAGCCACAGAAAGUCUGGGCAGUGUUAGAAGGGCAGGGCUUGCAAAAGCUGCAGACAAGAUAUUUUAGAUAUACCUACAAUGAAAAAAUGAAUAAUGAAAUGCAUGUAUGUUUUUUCAUUGGGGGUAUAUCUAUUUACUUAUUUUGUAUUUCGUAAUCAAGUGUCUCUGUUUAAAGCAGAAAUUCCUAAAUGUUCCUUUUGAAUAGCAAAAAUUUUGAUUUGAAAUUUUUUUGAUAAAUUAAUCUAUUUAGCAAGGUUUCCAGUGAUGUUUGAGUGUUUCUAGAUUAUAUUGUUUGUUCUAGCAUAGUUAUUGACUAAACAUGGUAUUAUUUGGAAUUAUUCAAGGAAUAAUUUCAAAAUGUAAGUCCAAAUAGCCAAGCUUAUAAAUUCCUGACUAGUCCCAGUUUAGUGUAUAACCCGGUAUGUGUUCCAUCUCUUUGGACCUGUGAGUUGCUCUGAGUUUUAGUAAAGACCAGACCUGAAGUUUAGAUAAUAAUCCCCAGGUAAUGUGGACUUCAAUUCCCUGCAUUAUAACCACAGGAUUGCUGGGAGUUGUAGUUCACACCACCUCAAGAGUCCAAGGCUCUCUUUCCCAUGAAGAUAUCCAGAAUUAAUCAGAUGAUGCUCCUCAAAAAAACUUAAAUUGAAAACUGAAAUUAAAAGAAAUGAGAAGAGUGCAAUUAUUUUUUUUAGGUUAGACGGCUGCAGGAAAAUAACAUUUAUUUUUUUAUUACAAAAAUUUAAUUUCUAAUUGCACUGCAAAUCGUGAUUUGUGACAAAAGUUGCAAUUCAAACAUUGUGCAAACUUUUGCAAGAAUUGUAAACUCAUUUUAUAAAGCAGACAAUAAUUUAAUUAAGUUCUGAUCUCUUGUGCAUUUAGCUUCCUGUACCAAUUCAGCUGUGCCUUAAGACUUACCAGCAUUUUGACUCGGAGGAACUUUACUAUGCCCACUGCACUAAACGUAGUGGGUAAUGUGUUUGUAGUGUGCCUUUAAAAAAAAAAAAAAAAACCCACCUUAGAUCAAACUAGAACAAUCAAGGUGAAAAUUUAAGGAACAUUAUAGGGUCACAAACAUGUAUUCCUGGCCCUGUAGUGCUAAACCCCCCAUUUAGGUGGCUUGCCCUCCCUUAGCCCCCAUAAAAGUAAUUAAAACUCACCUUAAUUCCAGUACCGCAUGGGUCCGUUGGCGCUAGCUCUGCCCCCUUGGUGACAUAAUCAGAAUUGCAUCUCUAUGAGGAAAAUUCUGCGUCCCCAUGCAGGGCGUGGAGACACUGAACGGCACUGCUGCCUACUGUGCAGCACUGAGCCAGGAAGCAACUCCUGUGGCCAUCUGAGUAGUGGCCAAUUGAAGGUGUCCCUAGGGGCAAUGUAAACACUGCCUUUUCUCUGAAAAAGCAGUGUUUGCAGAAAAAUGCCUGAAGGCAGUGAUUAUAGUCACCAAAAUAACAACAUGAAUAGAUUUAAGUUAUUUUCCAGUUCCUCUAUUUUGGUCUAGAUGUUGCUAGUUAGAUCUUAACUCACUGUUUAGGUAUUAUAAAACCCUUUAGUAACUUAGUGGUGACUUGUGUUAACUGAUUUACUUUGUGGCUAGCACAGAUGUUUAGAAGGCAAAAAUAUUAGAUUCCUGAUAUCUGCAUAAUAGUCAUAUUAUUUAACAUUUUACUGGACCAAAAAGUUCAUUGUCAUAAAUAUUGGACAGAGAUUAGUAACAGAAUUCAUGUGAUGUGUGUGCCAUUUAAAUUCUAGAAAAAAACGUGUCUCAGGCAGCGUUUAGUAAAUAACUAAUCCCUGUUUCAAUCAAGAACAUUCUUUUGUAUCACACUUAUUUGGUGCAAAGUAUACUUUCACAUUUUUCAAGUCGACAUGGAAAAUCUUCAUUCCAGGCCAGCCGUCCUUAGGCAGGCUGUGUUUUUAAUUUUGGUCACGGUGUUCAUGUGAGCAAACGAAACUUUUUAAAAAAUGUCCUUGGGUGCUUGUACUCUACUGCUGUGCAGAUAUAUUUCUUUCAGGUUCAAUAUUCUCUGAUUUACACUAUCAACGCAUAGGUAUGAAUUAAUGCCAAUAUUCAAUAUUUUAUGAAAAAAAGGCUUUACUGUUCAAUGUGUUCAACUGAUGGCUACAAUUUACUGUCUCCAGGGCAACCGUGGCUUUAGAUUGUUACUGUAGUUGUGCAUUGGUAACAGUCUACAGCCAUGGUCACUCGGGGAAGACACAGACAACGCCUUCGUGGCAACUCUAAAGUGGCCAAAGCCAGCAAUUACUGUAAAUAGAGACUCAAUGUAGAUGCUUUAGUUGGGAAACUGUCAGGUGAGUUGCAAAAGUAAGUAAGUCAGUUUCUGAACAAUGUAAUAAUUUGUAUGACAAGUGCUUAUCUGCCAUUUAUUCAUAGUAAACUUGCAAAGUGUGACAGACCAAUUGGUCACCUAGGACUGGUACGUCUCCCACCCGUCACCUCACUAAAAGACUAUAAUCACUACUAUAUGCACCUCCAGUCAAUGCCCCUUUUACGCGGACAAGGACUCAUCAUCAAGGCCAGCCGGUAACUCGCUGAGGCAAGGCACGUCUGACCAGGAGCAACCCUCAAACACUCUGGAACUACUGAUUGGAUCAGAAAGUUGCCACAGCCUGGGAAAACUAUGAUUAGGGCGCUCUCCCAGAGCCACCUAUCAGGGCACGAUUUGGAGGUGUGACAGAGGAUGUGGUGAGGCAUCGAAUGACACCAAGGACUUGAGAGAGAUCAAUGUACCGGCAGAAAGCAGCAUCAUUUUAGGUGCCCGGGAUUUCUACCCAGCACUAUGGAACUGUAUGCUGGAUUGGAGGAUUGUCAUGGUCCGAUGAAAACAUUACCUUCCAGCUAACUUGGGCUAGACACUUCUGAUCUGAGUGCUUUUUGGACAGAGUGGGCGCUCAGGAGAGAGCUUUCCAGGAAUGGCACUAUUGUGGGGAUUUUGGAACAGGAAUCCUAGUUUUCAUGUGUUUUUGUUAACCUGGUACCAAGGUGUCUGGCCACUAAUUAAAUUAUCUACUUAGGUACAGACACCAAGGUGCCAGGCAUGUCGCAAUACCAUUAUUCUCCUAGGGAUCUACUGUUGGAGGCCCCAGGUAUAAAUGUGUGACUGCUGUGCAGAUAUAUUUCUCAGGUUCAAUAUGCUCUGAUUUACACUAUCAAUGCGUAGGUAUGAAUUACUGCCAAUAUUCAAUAUUUUAUGAUAAAAGGCUUUACUGUUAAAUGUGUUCAAAGGAUGGCUACAAUUUACUGUCUCCAGGGCAACCGUGGCUUUAGAUUGUUACUGUAGUUGUGCCAGGCAUGUCGCAAGGUGCCAGGCAUAUCGAAAUACCAUUGUUCUCCUG